GCCUGGGUGGCUCAGUCGGUGAAGCGUCUGCCUUCGGCUCAGGGAUCCUGGGGUCGUGGGAUCGAGCCCCACAUCAGGCU
rnacentral:tRNA from 1 species